rnacentral:rRNA from 1 species
UACGGGGGGGGCAAGCGUUGUUCGGAAUUACUGGGCGUAAAGGGCUCGUAGGCGGCCAACUAAGUCGGACGUGAAAUCCCCAGGCUCAACCUGGGAACUGCGUCCGAUACUGGAUGGCUUGAAUUCGGGAGAGGGAUGCAGAAUUCCAGGUGUAGCGGUGAAAUGCGUAGAUAUCUGGAGGAAUACCGGUGGCGAAGGCGGGUCUCUGGACAGUUCCUGACACUGAGACACGAAGGCCAGGGGAGCAAACGGG